ACUUGUGUAACCGUGGGAAUUCUCGAGCUAAUACAUGCUGAAAAUCCCGACUUCGUAAGGGAUGUGUUUAUUAAAUAAAAAACCAAUGCCCUUCGGGGCUUUUUGGUGAUUCAUGAUAACUUUACGGAUCGCAUAGCCUUGCGCUGGCGACGGUUCAUUCAAAUUUCUGCCCUAUCAACUUUCGAUGGUAAGGUAUUGGCUUACCAUGGUUUCAACGGGUAACGGGGAAUUAGGGUUCGAUUCCGGAGAGGGAGCCUGAGAAACGGCUACCACAUCCAAGGAAGGCAGCAGGCGCGCAAAUUACCCAAUCCCGACACGGGGAGGUAGUGACAAUAAAUACUGAUACAGGGCUCUUUUGGGUCUUGUAAUUGGAAUGAGUACAAUUUAAACCUCUUAACGAGGAACAAUUGGAGGGCAAGUCUGGUGCCAGCAGCCGCGGUAAUUCCAGCUCCAAUAGCGUAUAUUAAAGUUGUUGCAGUUAAAAAGCUCGUAGUUGAAACUUGGGCCUGGCUGGCGGGUCCGCCUCACCGCGUGCACUCGUCCGGCCGGGCCUUCCUUCUGAAGAACCUCAUGCCCUUCCCUGGGCGUGUUGGGGAAUCAGGACUUUUACUUUGAAAAAAUUAGAGUGUUCAAAGCAGGCCUUUGCUCGAAUACGUUAGCAUGGAAUAAUAAAAUAGGGCGUGCGUUUCUAUUUUGUUGGUUUCUAGAGACGCCGCAAUGAUUAACAGGAACAGUCGGGGGCAUCAGUAUUCAGUUGUCAGAGGUGAAAUUUUUGGAUUUACUGAAGACUAACUACUGCGAAAGCAUUUGCCAAGGAUGUUUUCAUUAAUUAGUGAACGAAAGUUAGGGGAUCGAAGACGAUCAGAUACCGUCGUAGUCUUAACCGUAAACUAUGCCGACUAGGGAUCGGGCGAUGUUCUUUUUCUGACUCGCU
rnacentral:rRNA from 1 species